UGGGCUUGACAUGCACGGGAAAGCCGGUGGAAACAUCGGCCCCUCUUCGGAGCUCCAGCACAGGUGCUGCAUGGCUGUCGUCAGCUCGUGUCGUGAGAUGUUGGGUUAAGUCCCGCAACGAGCGCAACCCCCGCCCCGUGUUGCUAACAGGCCGCAAGGCGCUGAGGACUCUCGGGGGACUGCCGGUGCCAAACCGGAGGAAGGUGGGGAUGACGUUUCCAGGUUAGG
rnacentral:misc_RNA from 1 species